GAACUUUUUCUCCCUGGAUCCCCAGGUAUGCAGUCUUGAGAAAGCUACCUCAGCUUUCUGGAGCUCAAGAUCUGGAUCUCAAGCAGGACGUGAUAUCUUCCCUCCUUGAAUCCAGGAGGAAAAAUGAAAUAAUUCAAGUGUCCUGCUCAUUCCCACAACUGUGUGAACUGGAAUUCCUGGUGGGUGGGGAGAUGGCGCAGGUAUUAAACUGUCUGUAAGAUUGA